rnacentral:rRNA from 1 species
GACGAACCGUGCGAACGUUGUUCGGAAUCACUGGGCUUAAAGGGCGCGUAGGCGGCUCCUCAAGUCCGGGGUGAAAUCCUCCCGCCCAACGGGAGAAGUGCCUUGGAUACUGGGGGGCUCGAGCGGGGUAGGGGCAUGUGGAACUUCCGGUGGAGCGGUGAAAUGCGUAGAUAUCGGAAGGAACGCCGGUGGCGAAAGCGGCGACCUGGACAGAUACUGACACUCAACUGCGAAAGCGUGGGGAGCAAACAGG